AUUGAACGCUGGCGGCAGGCCUAACACAUGCAAGUCGAGCGGAGCGGCGGACGGGUGAGUAAUGCCUAGGAAUCUGCCUGGUAGUGGGGGAUAACGUCCGGAAACGGGCGCUAAUACCGCAUACUAUCAGAUGAGCCUCGGGCGGAUUAGCUAGUUGGUGGGGUAAAGGCCUACCAAGGCGACGAGCCGUACCUGGUCUGAGAGGAUGAUCAGGAACACUUGAACUGAGAACCGGUCCAGACUCCUACGGGAGGCAGCAGUGGGGAAGUUUUGACAAUGGGGGAAACCCUGAUCCAGCCAUGCCGCGUGUGCGAAGAAGGUCUUCGGAUUGUAAAGCACUUUAUGUUGGAAGGCGUUACCUGCAGAAUAAGCACCGGCUAACUUCGUGCCAGCAGCCGCGGUAAUUC
rnacentral:rRNA from 1 species